UUAAGCGACUAAGCGUACACGGUGGAUGCCCUGGCAGUCAGAGGCGAUGAAGGACGUGCUAAUCUGCGAUAAGCGUCGGUAAGGUGAUAUGAACCGUUAUAACCGGCGAUUUCCGAAUGGGGAAACCCAGUGUGUUUCGACACACUAUCAUUAACUGAAUCCAUAGGUUAAUGAGGCGAACCGGGGGAACUGAAACAUCUAAGUACCCCGAGGAAAAGAAAUCAACCGAGAUUCCCCCAGUAGCGGCGAGCGAACGGGGAGCAGCCCAGAGCCUGAAUCAGUGUGUGUGUUAGUGGAAGCGUCUGGAAAGGCGCGCGAUACAGGGUGACAGCCCCGUACACAAAAAUGCACAUGCUGUGAGCUCGAUGAGUAGGGCGGGACACGUGGUAUCCUGUCUGAAUAUGGGGGGACCAUCCUCCAAGGCUAAAUACUCCUGACUGACCGAUAGUGAACCAGUACCGUGAGGGAAAGGCGAAAAGAACCCCGGCGAGGGGAGUGAAAAAGAACCUGAAACCGUGUACGUACAAGCAGUGGGAGCACAGAGCAAUCUGUGUGACUGCGUACCUUUUGUAUAAUGGGUCAGCGACUUAUAUUCUGUAGCAAGGUUAACCGAAUAGGGGAGCCGAAGGGAAACCGAGUCUUAACUGGGCGUUAAGUUGCAGGGUAUAGACCCGAAACCCGGUGAUCUAGCCAUGGGCAGGUUGAAGGUUGGGUAACACUAACUGGAGGACCGAACCGACUAAUGUUGAAAAAUUAGCGGAUGACUUGUGGCUGGGGGUGAAAGGCCAAUCAAACCGGGAGAUAGCUGGUUCUCCCCGAAAGCUAUUUAGGUAGCGCCUCGUGAAUUCAUCUCCGGGGGUAGAGCACUGUUUCGGCAAGGGGGUCAUCCCGACUUACCAACCCGAUGCAAACUGCGAAUACCGGAGAAUGUUAUCACGGGAGACACACGGCGGGUGCUAACGUCCGUCGUGAAGAGGGAAACAACCCAGACCGCCAGCUAAGGUCCCAAAGUCAUGGUUAAGUGGGAAACGAUGUGGGAAGGCCCAGACAGCCAGGAUGUUGGCUUAGAAGCAGCCAUCAUUUAAAGAAAGCGUAAUAGCUCACUGGUCGAGUCGGCCUGCGCGGAAGAUGUAACGGGGCUAAACCAUGCACCGAAGCUGCGGCAGCGACGCUNAUGCUGGAGGUAUCAGAAGUGCGAAUGCUGACAUAAGUAACGAUAAAGCGGGUGAAAAGCCCGCUCGCCGGAAGACCAAGGGUUCCUGUCCAACGUUAAUCGGGGCAGGGUGAGUCGACCCCUAAGGCGAGGCCGAAAGGCGUAGUCGAUGGGAAACAGGUUAAUAUUCCUGUACUUGGUGUUACUGCGAAGGGGGGACGGAGAAGGCUAUGUUGGCCGGGCGACGGUUGUCCCGGUUUAAGCGUGUAGGCUGGUUUUCCAGGCAAAUCCGGAAAAUCAAGGCUGAGGCGUGAUGACGAGGCACUACGGUGCUGAAGCAACAAAUGCCCUGCUUCCAGGAAAAGCCUCUAAGCAUCAGGUAACAUCAAAUCGUACCCCAAACCGACACAGGUGGUCAGGUAGAGAAUACCAAGGCGCUUGAGAGAACUCGGGUGAAGGAACUAGGCAAAAUGGUGCCGUAACUUCGGGAGAAGGCACGCUGAUAUGUAGGUGAAGUCCCUCGCGGAUGGAGCUGAAAUCAGUCGAAGAUACCAGCUGGCUGCAACUGUUUAUUAAAAACACAGCACUGUGCAAACACGAAAGUGGACGUAUACGGUGUGACGCCUGCCCGGUGCCGGAAGGUUAAUUGAUGGGGUUAGCGCAAGCGAAGCUCUUGAUCGAAGCCCCGGUAAACGGCGGCCGUAACUAUAACGGUCCUAAGGUAGCGAAAUUCCUUGUCGGGUAAGUUCCGACCUGCACGAAUGGCGUAAUGAUGGCCAGGCUGUCUCCACCCGAGACUCAGUGAAAUUGAACUCGCUGUGAAGAUGCAGUGUACCCGCGGCAAGACGGAAAGACCCCGUGAACCUUUACUAUAGCUUGACACUGAACAUUGAGCCUUGAUGUGUAGGAUAGGUGGGAGGCUUUGAAGUGUGGACGCCAGUCUGCAUGGAGCCGACCUUGAAAUACCACCCUUUAAUGUUUGAUGUUCUAACGUUGACCCGUAAUCCGGGUUGCGGACAGUGUCUGGUGGGUAGUUUGACUGGGGCGGUCUCCUCCUAAAGAGUAACGGAGGAGCACGAAGGUUGGCUAAUCCUGGUCGGACAUCAGGAGGUUAGUGCAAUGGCAUAAGCCAGCUUGACUGCGAGCGUGACGGCGCGAGCAGGUGCGAAAGCAGGUCAUAGUGAUCCGGUGGUUCUGAAUGGAAGGGCCAUCGCUCAACGGAUAAAAGGUACUCCGGGGAUAACAGGCUGAUACCGCCCAAGAGUUCAUAUCGACGGCGGUGUUUGGCACCUCGAUGUCGGCUCAUCACAUCCUGGGGCUGAAGUAGGUCCCAAGGGUAUGGCUGUUCGCCAUUUAAAGUGGUACGCGAGCUGGGUUUAGAACGUCGUGAGACAGUUCGGUCCCUAUCUGCCGUGGGCGCUGGAGAACUGAGGGGGGCUGCUCCUAGUACGAGAGGACCGGAGUGGACGCAUCACUGGUGUUCGGGUUGUCAUGCCAAUGGCACUGCCCGGUAGCUAAAUGCGGAAGAGAUAAGUGCUGAAAGCAUCUAAGCACGAAACUUGCCCCGAGAUGAGUUCUCCCUGACUCCUUGAGAGUCCUGAAGGAACGUUGAAGACGACGACGUUGAUAGGCCGGGUGUGUAAGCGCAGCGAUGCGUUGAGCUAACCGGUACUAAUGAACCGUGAGGCUUAACCUU
rnacentral:rRNA from 1 species